ensembl:lncRNA
UUAGUACAGUGGUGAACCUAUAGGUCUUCAGUGUGUGACAGGUUAGUACAGUGGUGAACCUAUAGGUCUUCAGUGUGUGACAGGUUAGUACAGUGGUGAACCUAUAGGCCUUCAGUGUGUGACAGGUUAGUACAGUGGUGAACCUAUAGGUCUUCAGUGUGUGACAGGUUAGUACAGUGGUGAACCUAUAGGUCUUCAGUGUAUGACAGGUUAGUACAGUGGUGAACCUAUAGGUCUUCAGUGUGUGACAGGUUAGUUCAGUGGUGAACCUAUAGAUCUUCAGUGUGUGACAGGUUAGUACAGUGGUGAACCUAUAGGCCUUCAGUGUGUGACAGGUUAGUACAGUGGUGAACCUAUAGGUCUUCAGUGUGUGACAGGUUAGUACAAUGGUGAACCUAUAGGUCUUCAGUGUGUGACAGGUUAGUACAGUGGUGAACCUAUAGGCCUUCAGUGUGUGACAGGUUAGUACAGUGGUGAACCUAUAGGUCUUCAGUGUGUGACAGGUUAG